AGCAGAGAGGUGAAGAAGAGGAAGAGCACAUUACGAGCCAGCAGCUCUCCGACACAAGCUCUUUUACCUGCAGACAAAUGGUAAAAAAGGAGUCGCCACAGCGGAAUGAAUUGCCAAUUACUCUGGUUUUAUGCUGUGGAUGCCCUUCUAGCACUGGGAAAUCCAACUAUUUAUUUCAUUUUGAUUGUUAAACUUCAUUGCCUUGAUUGUAAUACCGUCUGACAUUGACAACUGGGAUCUUACAGUGUGACAUAAGGAUCAUUUUUGUACAGUCUGACAAUCCUUAAGUAAAAUCAUAAAUCAUACAGUCUGGAUGCAGCUUAAAAAUGUUGUCAUUAAUCAGUACCUGUACUCUUGGAGAACCUGCCAAUUGAAUACACUGGUUGUCAAGACGCAGAAUUUCCUGGUACCAUUCGUCAUUGUAGUCAAAGCGUUGCCCAAAUGUCAAACAGGCAACGGUAUUUGAGACAGCACCGUGUAAAAUGAAUAUGGGGUUGAAGGGUUCUGUUUGGAAGAAAGCAUUGAUAUUGAUCAAAAUGGCAAAUUGUUUUCACUACUAAUUAACUAAAUCAGCCAGACAUUUGGCCCAUACCCUUUUCUGCCUUAAAAGCAUCACAAAGGUAGACACACUCUUGCUGGAUGCCGAGCUCCAGAUUUUUUUUCCCCUCUCCAAAAGUCCGCAAAUGGGAGGCAGCAAGCCUCCUAUGUGACCGCCAAAGGUAUCCAUUACUCAUUGUUAAACCUGCAUAACGAUACAUAAAGAUUAUUAUCAUUAAAACAACACCAGCAGUAUAGAAAUAUAGGAGUUUAUUUUAGGGUCAUUAUGGUUGGUACACCUACCGAUUCCCUUGUAAAUUUUGUAAAACAUAGGAAGUGGUGGACGCAAAACGAAACUGUCAUUCUGAGUUACGAGGGCCUCCUUUACCAUUUUAUAUCCAGACACAAUUAUCAUUUUCUCGCUUCCCACUUUUAAGCUGAACACCUUCCCAUAGACUUUAGCCAACUGAAAUUGAAUUGAAAAGAUUUGAUUUUAACAAUCAUUGACAUUAACAGUUGAAACGCCAGUAAAAGUAUUCAAUUUGACCAAAGUAAAAGUAAAAACUUACUUAAUCUGCUUGUACUGAAGUAUUAAAAGUAAAAAGUAAUGCUUGAAAAUGUAUUUAUUUUGAAGGAAAGUUGUGUAUUGAAAUUACUUGUAUUGCUACUAGUUAACUACAACUAAUAAUUAUUAUUCAAGUAUGCAAAGAAGUAAAAAUAGUAAAUAUAAAUAGCAAACUAAAUAAACAGAAUUAAAUAAACUGACGUUACAUAGGGCAAAUUGAUGAUUAAGGAAAAUAUUAUUCAAACAGACUCAUUUGACAUCAUUUGUAACUGGUAAGGCAGUUUGUGUUGUUAUAAUGUUAUGUUUAAUUUUUACCCAAAACAAUAUAUCAAAAUAUGUCAUACAAUGGGCCAUUUAGCAGCAGUUCUUCACAAAUCAUUUAUAGUAGUCCUAAAAUAUGAAUCCUAAAAUUCAUGCCAUCAGUCACAUGUGCACGCAUUAUAGGAACCUUCUGUUCUUUGAUCAUUUAAUGAAUCAUUAAUUGGGAGACUCACUCUGACCGGAUCAUUUGAUUUAGUGAGUUGUUUACUCGAAAACAGAUGCAGUCACCUCGGUUCAAUUUGCCAAACCAUGUAACAGGUUAAACGCAAUGGAAUAAAAAUAUAAUAUUGUGCUUUGUAAUGUACUAAAGUUAAAGUUUCCCAAAAUAAAAUACUUCAAAAAAUGAUUUUUGGGGCUUGUAAAUAAAGAGAGCAUAAGCUCAGUACAUUUUACAAAUAAAUCAUAUUUUGUCGUUUUACUUCAAAAUGUCACGUUUAAUUCAAUAAGCUAUACUUAAUAUUUAUUUUUAAUUUAUGUGCUUAAAAUACAAUAGUAAAUUCAAAUGGAUGUACCUAAGUAAUAUUUAUUGUUUUGUAAUAUAUUGAGCUAACGAAAAAAAAAAAAGCCAUAUGCGAGUAAAAUUUACUCUACAAAGUCAGUACGUCUAUGCGCAUGCUCUGAGUCAAACUUGGCGGGCAGGUGGAACAGAUGAGAGCAACCGAUGAUUUCCUCACACAGGAAAGUAAGGUAAGUUACAUAUUUGUUUUUUGAUCAAAUUGGUUUCACUUGCAGAAAGGUCUAGAGCUCCUGUCUGCAGUUUUGGUGGUUAAAGAGAAUGCAUGAAGUGUUAUUUGAGCGAGUUUGCUAAAGAUCUGAUUAGCAUUAUAACAAACGACAUCUGUGUCUGAAACAACUGUGUUUCAUUCUAAAUAUAUUCUACAGAGAAGUAUAAUCUACAGUGAACUUAAAGAUGAUUUUUUACUAAUACAAGUGUAUUGGUAAAUUGCAAUAAGGAUAAACUGAACAUUAAAGUUAGCCUCCCAUGCUGUCUGCUAUAAAUAGGAGUUUUCUUAGAUUGGACAGCCUCAGAACUCAUUUGAACCCAGAAUGAGCCCUGAGAGGCCAAAACACGACAUAGAAAGAUGGAUUUAUUAAUCCAUCCACAUUAACAUAUGCGAAUAUACUUCUUAUUAAACUAUAGUGAUAUAUGUAACGUUACUGAGUAUAUUCAGGCAGCCUUUAUGCUUGUGAACAUUUAUUACUGAUAAUUGAAUGGAGUCCAAAAUAAAUGAACUGAUCAAAUUUUAAAUCAGUAAUAUCAUUAUAUGUUCAUUCCGUUUUCUGACAUUAACAUUUCUAAUAUGUUCAACAGAUUGCUCUCACCAUUCAAGCUCAUGUAAGCUCAAUAAUGAGAACAGAAGCAUAACCACAUCCUGUAGCCAGCCUUUCUACAAAAACUGGACUGCUUUCACUCAACCAGCUAAAUUGCACAUCCAAUUUCCACCUGCUUCCUGACUUAGAUAAGCAGUUAUAUGGAGAUUUACACUGUCGCUGGUUAAUGACCACAGAAAUGUACUUUUGUUUUAAUCAACAAGUUGAAGACAAGUGAGAUGCUGUGAUCCGCUGCCUACUUUCCUACCUGUGAGGAUUAUCUCAGGAGCUCAUUGAGGACUACAAGUUACUGUACAUUAAAAUUUCUAAAUUACUUUUUACUUUACAUGUAAGGUUCUUUAAGUGUUAAAGACAUAUUAGUAUUUUUAUCUCCCAAAAUUGUAAGUUUUGGCUAACAUUUAAACUUGGUUAACAUUAAAAACUUUAAUCACAGUACAGUAUUCUAAUCACUUUGCACUUAUUUUUGUAUUUGACAAGAUGUCAAGAGACCUGCUUAAAGACAAUCAUUGUGAAUAUCAUUGUACUGGGCAGUACUACAGAAUAGGAAGAUGCCAACACAGAUGACCCAUUAUUCUCUCUUAAAAGACUUUUUAAAUUUGUUUAUUGAGAAGUCUUAGUUCAAAUAAAAGUACUCGAUGAAAA